CCAAGCACUCAGCUCACAGCCCACCUGCACGCAAGCAUCUUGUCUGCAAGCAUUCAGCCUAAGCAGCCCUACGUCAUACGUAGCCCUUGCCUCUUUGCAGACAGCCUUCCCUCUGCUGUAUUGCCCAUUGCUCCCUUGCAACGUAUCUCUCCUUUUCUCUAAAUAAAUCUGCCUUUCUAAAUUCAAUAUUGUCUUGAUUGAUUCCUUUAUCACCACGCGCUGGCCUCACACAGCCAUUAACCACGACAAGUUGCAUCCCCAGAGAUAUUUAACCCGAGGAAAAAUCGGCCACAAGGUAGCGCCACAUUACAGAGAGGGAACAGAUGGAUUUAUCUUGCACGUGGUCCCCAGAAUUGCUCAGAGGCUAGCUGCAGAUGCUCACCAGGUCAUUUUAUUAGCCUUCUAAUAACACAGUUCUACAUUUUAUACUAACGAAGUUUGGGGCCCAAUUUAUUGCCUAAUUUGGGAUUUUAAAUGUUAAACCACUGAGACUAGAAAAGAUCCCUAAGGAGGCAGAUAUUGCUAAAGGAAAGAGAAGGGCCUUCAGCACAUGCUAAUAUUUGAGCAGGGUUUCUUGAUCUUGGCACCAUGGAUAUUUUGAGCUGAAUAAUUCUGUGUUAUGGGGACUGUCCUGGGCAUUAACAGCAUCUCUAGCCUCUCCCCACUAGAUGGCAGUAGCAACACCCUCAAACACAACCAUAGACCUCUCCAGAUAUUGCCAAAUGUCCCCUGGGGAGCAAAAUCACCCCGUAGUGGAGAAGCAAUCAUUCAGGGGACAGAGGACGCAGCAAAAUCAGAAAGGAGACCAAAGACAGCGGCUAGAGGGGAGGAAACCAGGAGAGUGCGUAUAGUGGAGCCAAUGGCGGAAAGGUCCCAAGGAAGAGUGACCAAUUGCAUCCAACAGUGAGUGCCUAAAGCUGGUUCCCCUCACCAAGGCUGAGCAAGUGAAAAGGAGGGCACAGGGCAGGCCAGUAGUGAGCAGCAACAAGGAACUAAGACAGCAGAAACCACUCUUCACACCUGGGUUGAAAGGGGUGGGGAGCCAGGACUACAGCUCAGGAAGGAUCCAGUUCAGACAGGAGCACCCAAUAUUCAGAAGAGAAGAACAUGGUGUAAAGGUCCUGGGAAGGCUGAGAGGAUUGGGACUCAGAAUCCAGAGCAGAAGCCGUCUGUGAACAGAAGAAGGACCUCCCCCAGUGUAGCAAGAGGGAGGGAGGAGGGACAGAUGCCAAGAUGGUUCAGGAAGAAGGUUUGGUGGUAAAUGUGAGGCUGUGCUCACCUGCUGGCUUCAAUUUUCUCUUUAAAAUGUCAGAUGGAAUCAUUUGAUGAAGGCCAUGCCAUGCAAUGAAAUGGCAGUCUGAGGCAUGGAGCAGCUCCAGCUUAGCCCGUGUUUAGGGUAAUUAUGGCUCCAACCCAGGAGAUGAAUAUGACUAGGGAAAGUGAAGUCCAAAAACAAAUGGUCUCAAGUUGACUGUGAGUCUUCUGGGAGGCUGAGACGACAGGUGGG
rnacentral:lncRNA from 1 species